rnacentral:rRNA from 1 species
CAGCAGCCACGGUAAUACGUAGGUGGCAAGCGUUGUCCGGAAUUAUUGGGCGUAAAGGGCUCGCAGGCGGUUUCUUAAGUCUGAUGUGAAAGCCCCCGGCUCAACCGGGGAGGGUCAUUGGAAACUGGGAAACUUGAGUGCAGAAGAGGAGAGUGGAAUUCCACGUGCAGCGGUGAAAUGCGUAGAGAUGUGGAGGAACACCAGUGGCGAAGGCGACUCUCUGGUCUGUAACUGACGCUGAGGAGCGAAAGCGUGGGGAGCGAACAGGAUUAGAUACCCGAGUAGUCCCUGUCUCUUAUAC